UCUAUCAUGAAAAAGGAGAAGAAGAAAGUUCGGUCAGAUUUCUCAAGAUCCUUUAGUCAAGAUGACAUGAAAAACUUCUGGGGGCUUGAAUACAAGUAAAAGUUUGAUGAUUUCAAGAAGAGACAUAUUAUUCCUGGUCGAGUAAUCAAUUUAGAACAAUUGGAAGACUCUCACUGCCAGAUAAGUUCCUUUCUUCGGGCUCAAAAACUAUCUCUUUUGUCACGUAUUUGUGGUCUCGAAUGCUUUGAGGAACCAAUUCGUAUGUUUUAUGCAAAUCUUCGUAUAUCUGAUGAUAGUGGUGAGUUGAAAAUCCUCAUUUUGGAAAAUCGUGUUGUUGUGAAUGAUAAAUUAUUUUAAAAUAUAUUUGGGUUUGAGUUCUCUGAUGAUAUCCCCGAUAUGAAUGGUUUGUGGCUUGAGGAUUCUGAGGUUACUUUGCAUGCGGCUAGGGAAAGCGGUUGCUGAACCUAAUAUCAAUCUGUCUGAAUUUGGCCCAUUGUCUCUCUAUUUUGAGAAUCGUAUUUUGGCUCACAUCAUUGCCACCACUUUGGUACCUCAGAAAGGUUCGCUUAGUAGCAUAUCUAACAAGGUUAUUUUUAUCUUGUUCUGUCUAUUGAAAAACUAUCGUAUCAAUUGGGCCUCUUGGAUUCGUGAAUAUAUGCUUGGAGGUGUUGAAGACCCCGGUCCCUCAACCAGUUUUCCCUAUGUACUCCUCAUUUUUUGCAUUAUAAUUGACUCUCUUAUGGGUCUGUCAAAUUUCAAAUCGGUGGAAACUUCUGCUACCUAUGACUCCAGGACCUUCUCAAGUAUGGGAUACACUCUCAUUGAUAAAAAAUGGCAUAAAACGAUCCCUUGAAGGCAAGAAUGGGUGAUCCCAAAGUCACUCGUGUCUCUGCUAACUGUGUUUCCCUCCUACUCAAGGAGGCCGAUGAUAUUAAGACUCGAUUAGACUCUCUUGAAACUAACAUGCAGGUAGUGCAGGAGCCGAUUGGGAAGAUUCUGCAGCACAACAAGGAUACCAGUACUGAUCUAGGGAAGCUUCAUCUGGCUAUGGAUUCUCUGAAGAAGGAUGGGGUUCGUUCCAUCAAUGGGUUGAUUAAGCAAGUUGACUCUAUUCGAGUAGGAGUUUACUCCUCCAAUAAUGAGUUGAAUGGGGAGAAAAUACAAUUCACAGAAGCAACAAUACAGAGGGAGCAAGAGAAAAUAUAGUUCACAGAAGCAACAAAACAAGGGGAGUAGGAAGCAUGGAAAAACUAACUCAAGCUAAAAGCCAGGGAAGUAGAAAGGAAAAUCAACUACAUAUAUUGUCAUUAUCAAAAAGGGAGAGAUUAUUAGCAUCAAAGUAUUUUGAAGAAUGACUUGACUUUCUAUUGCAGGAAAUCAAUAUAAGAAAUCAAAAAUGAAAAAGCAUCUAUUCAGAAAAGAAGAAGAUCAAUCAAGACAAAUCACAAUUAAAUGAUUUGGUCAAAAGAAAAAAGAUUAAGAAGAAGAUGUUACAACCCUGAUGAUUAAAUCAAUAAGAAUUCCGUAGAACAAGGAAAGAAGAUUAGAUCCCAACUAUCAAGGAGCAAUCAGAAAUCAUUGACAUCAGGCAGACAAGGAAAGAAGACUAUAAGGAGCAAUCAGAAAUCAUUGACAUCGGGCGAACAAAGAAAGAAGAUUGUUGACAAGGAAAGAAGGACAUCAAGCAUACAAGGAAAGAAGAUUUUUGUACAAGGCAUAAAAGCUUGAAGAUCCUACAAAGGAAUACAUGGACAUACCUAAUAUGGACAUGUACACUCAAUCAAGCAAAUAUUACAAAUCCUUGAUUGAAUGAAAAAUCCCUUGGAUUUUUCCAAUCAGAGCUAACGGCUAAUUCCUCAACAAAGUCGGAUAUAAAAAGCCUCUCUACUUCAUCAAAGAUGACUACACAUUUUCACUUGAACUUGUACUAAAUUAGUUCUUUCAUCUUUCAUAAAUACUAUGUACUCUUGCAAGAAUACAAUUGUAAAGGAAAGAGAGAAGUGUAGGUUAUACAGGUAGAGGCUGUGUCGAUCAGAAGAUCAAUUGGUUAGAGACAAAAGUGAAACUCAUAUGUACUCUCACCAUUUACGAAAAAGUUCUAAGGGAAACCCUUGUAACCCAAGGGGACUGUAAAUAGGUACCACAUAUGUGUUCCGAA